GGGACUGUAGCUCAGUGGUAGAGCAGUUGCUAGCAUGCACAAAGCCCUGGGUUCAAUCCCCAGCACUGCAA
rnacentral:tRNA from 1 species